rnacentral:rRNA from 1 species
AUGGGAAAGAAGGGCAAGUGGCUGGGCGCCGUCAAGAAGGUGUUCAGCCCUGAGUCCAAGGAGAAGAAGGAGGAGAAACUGAGGAAGAAAUUGGCUGCAAGAGACCCCAGUCCACCAGAUCUAACACCUUCUACUUCCUUGGAAGUCAAUGUUUCGAUGCCGCCGCCGCCGCCGCCUCCCGCAGUUCCUUCUCCACACCAAACCGAGGAGGUUCAGGUCCGGGAUGUUGAGCUGGAGCAGGAGCAGGAGCAGAGCAAGCAUGUGACCGUGGAGGCAGUUCCUGAUGCUCCUGUGCAGACGUCGACGGCAUUGCCACCUGGUGUAUCUAGGGAAGAGCUCGCUGCAAUCAAGAUCCAGACCGCCUUUAGGGGAUACCUGGCAAGGAGGGCACUACGAGCCUUGAGGGGCCUUGUUAGAUUGAAGUCAUUGGUCGAGGGUAAUUCGGUUAAGCGUCAAGCUGCAAGUACUCUGCGCUGUAUGCAGACUCUCGCACGGGUGCAGUCACAGAUACGUUCAAGAAGGCUGAAGAUGUCUGAGGAGAACCAAGCCCUCCAGCGCCAGCUCCUGCUGAAACAGGAGUUGGACAGUUUGAGGAUGGGGGAGCACUGGGACGACACCACUCAAUCCAAGGAGAAGAUCGAAGCAAGUCUAAUAAGCAGGCAAGAGGCUGCGAUAAGAAGAGAGAGAGCUCUCGCAUAUGCGUUUUCCCAUCAGUGGAAGAGCAGUUCAAGGUCCUCCAACCCAAUGUUUGUAGACCCAAACAACCCACACUGGGGCUGGAGCUGGCUGGAACGCUGGAUGGCAGCAAAGCCUUCUGAGGCCGGCCGCACUGGAACCGGCAAGGAAAGCAACAUUGACCAGGGAUCAGUGAAGAGCACGAGUUUGAACCUUGGAGAGGGCGAGAUCACUAAAGCCUUCAACCGUAGGGGCUCCAAGCCAGACAAGUCGUCACCGACGACUCCAAAGCUGACCCGCCCAGCGUCCCGGCUAUCCCCUUCUACACCCACUGCCAAAGUGACACCAAUAGUUGUGAAGAAGAAAUCUGCUACACCGAAGAACGGGAUUUCACAGGUGGAUGACGAUGCAAGGAGCGUGCUCAGUGUGCAGUCCGAGCGACCAAGGAGGCACAGCAUAGCCACCUCAACGGUGCAGGAUGACGAGAGCCUCGCAAGCUCUCCAUCAGUCCCAAGCUACAUGGCUGCCACAAAAUCUGCUAGGGCCAAGUCCCGCCUCCAGGGGUCACCACUGAUCGAUAGUGCAGAGACGACACCAGAGAAAGGAGGCUCUGUUAGUGUUGGGUCAGCCAAGAAGAGGCUGUCCUUCCCAGCUGGAGGGGUUCCCCCCUCGCCAAUGAGGCGGCAUUCUGGCCCUCCAAAGGUGGAGAGCAUGGUGAAGGACAUCCCCGAGACGCCGCAGCCAGAGGCCCUGGCGAUCAGCGGUUGA